rnacentral:rRNA from 1 species
UUUCGCCUACGGGAGGCAGCAGCGAGGAAUAUUGGUCAAUGGGCGGUAGCCUGAACCAGCCAAGUAGCGUGAAGGAUGAAGGUUCUAUGGAUUUUAAACUUCUUUUAUAAAGGAAUAAAGUGAGGCACGUGUGCCUUUUUGUAUGUACUUUAUGAAUAAGGAUCGGCUAACUCCGUGCCAGCAGCCGCGGUAAUACGGAGGAUCCGAGCGUUAUCCGGAUUUAUUGGGUUUA